GGGGGUGCACCGGAUUCGAUUGCCGGUGAGCGAAGGAAUAAGCAUACCGCAGAUGGAAAGACUGCGUAAAAACGAUCCGACUAAAUAUAAAUGCAGAUAGAAAUGCAAACUACGCUUUAGCAGCGUAACUUCGUUUUUAAGCGAAACGUCGCGCCCGAUUUAUCCGUCGGUCGGGGUCGUGGCGUCAACAAGACGGAAAAAUCUUGAAAGAAUCGGAAAGCGUUUUUUUGAGAUCGUGCAGCUUUCUGCGGUUUGCAAAGCGUGUUUACCCGCGUUGCAAACGUAAGAAAAGUAGAUAAAAUAAGUAUGUAGAAAGUUUCUUGGCAGCCGCGUAAGACGUGAGUUCAACUCUCACCACCUCCACCA
rnacentral:tmRNA from 1 species